UACGGGGGGGGGCAAGCGUUGUUCGGAAUUACUGGGCGUAAAGGGCUCGUAGGCGGCCAACUAAGUCAGACGUGAAAUCCCUCGGCUUAACCGGGGAACUGCGUCUGAUACUGGAUGGCUUGAGUUCGGGAGAGGGAUGCGGAAUUCCUGGUGUAGCGGUGAAAUGCGCAGAUAUCAGGAGGAACACCGGUGGCGAAGGCGGGUCUCUGGGCCGAUACUGACGCUGAGGAGCGAAAGCGUGGGGAGCGAACAGG
rnacentral:rRNA from 1 species